rnacentral:rRNA from 1 species
GUGUCAGCAGCCGCGGUAAUACGUAGGGUGCGAGCGUUAAUCGGAAUUACUGGGCGUAAAGCGUGCGUAGGCGGUCCGCGAAGUCUGAUGUGAAAGCCCCGGGCUCAACCUGGGAACUGCAUUGGAAACUAACGGGCUCGAGUGUGGCAGAGGGGGGUGGAAUUCCACGUGUAGCAGUGAAAUGCGUAGAGAUGUGGAGGAACACCGAUGGCGAAGGCAGCCCCCUGGGCUAACACUGACGCUCAGGCACGAAAGCGUGGGGAGCAAACAGGAUUAGAUACCCUUGUAGUCC